rnacentral:tRNA from 1 species
GGUGUAGCUCUGUGGUAGAGCAUGUGCUUAGCAUGACCAAGGGCCUGUGUUCCAUCCCCAGCACAUACA